rnacentral:rRNA from 1 species
UACGGAGGGUGCAAACGUUGCUCGGAAUCAUUGGGCGUAAAGCGCACGUAGGCGGCCUGUUAAGUCGGGUGUGAAAUCCCUGGGCUCAACCCAGGAAGUGCACUCGAAACUGGCAGGCUUGAGUACUGAAGAGGGUCGCGGAAUUCCCGGUGUAGAGGUGAAAUUCGUAGAUAUCGGGAGGAACACCAGUGGCGAAGGCGGCGACCUGGGCAGAUACUGACGCUGAGGUGCGAAAGCGUGGGGAGCAAACAGG